rnacentral:piRNA from 1 species
UCCUAGGGUUGAGAGAGUUCUUAAGGUGG